rnacentral:rRNA from 1 species
UGCAGUCGAACGCUGAAGCUUGGUGCUUGCACUGGGUGGAUGAGUGGCGAACGGGUGACUUUACGUGAGUAACCUGCCCUUGACUCUGGGAUAAGCCUGGGAAACUGGGUCUAAUACUGGAUACGACAUGUCACCGCAUGGUGGUGUGUGGAAAGGGUUUUACUGGUUUUGGAUGGGCUCACGGCCUAUCAGCUUGUUGGUGGGGUAAUGGCUCACCAAGGCGACGACGGGUAGCCGGCCUGAGAGGGUGACCGGCCACACUGGGACUGAGACACGGCCCAGACUCCUACGGGAGGCAGCAGUGGGGAAUAUUGUACAAUGGGCGGAAGCCUGAUGCAGCGACGCCGCGUGAGGGAUGACGGCCUUCGGGUUGUAAACCUCUUUCAGCA